UACGAAGGGGGCUAGCGUUGUUCGGAUUUACUGGGCGUAAAGCGCACGUAGGCGGAUCGUUAAGUCGGGGGUGAAAUCCUGGAGCUCAACUCCAGAACUGCCUUCGAUACUGGCGAUCUUGAGUCCGGAAGAGGUGGGUGGAACUCCUAGUGUAGAGGUGGAAUUCGUAGAUAUUAGGAAGAACACCAGUGGCGAAGGCGGCUCACUGGCCCGAUACUGACGCUGAGGCACGAAAGCGUGGGGAGCAAACAGGG
rnacentral:rRNA from 1 species